UAAGGAAUAUUGCGCAAUGGACGAAAGUCUGACGCAGCGACGCCGCGUGGGGGAUGAAGGUCUUCGGAUUGUAAACCCCUUUCGGGAGGGAAGAUGGAGUGGGUAACCACUUGGACGGUACCUCCAGAAGCAGCCACGGCUAACUUCGUGCCAGCAGCCGCGGUAAUACGAAGGUGGCAAGCGUUGUUCGGAUUCACUGGGCGUACAGGGAGCGUAGGCGGUUGGGUAAGCCCUCCGUGAAAUCUCCGGGCCUAACCCGGAAAGUGCAGAGGGGACUGCUCAGCUAGAGGAUGGGAGAGGAGCGCGGAAUUCCCGGUGUAGCGGUGAAAUGCGUAGAGAUCGGGAGGAAGGCCGGUGGCGAAGGCGGCGCUCUGGAACAUUUCUGACGCUGAGGCUCGAAAGCGUGGGGAGCAAACAGGAUUAGAUACCCUAGUAGUCCCUGAGCGGGCUGGCAAGGCGCAU
rnacentral:rRNA from 1 species